AACGAACGCUGGCGGCAUGCCUAACACAUGCCAGUCGAACGAGACCUUCGGGUCUAGUGGCGCACGGGUGCGUAACGCGUGGGAACCUGCCCUUAGGUUCGGAAUAACUCCCCGAAAGGGGUGCUAAUACCGGAUAAUGUCUUCGGACCAAAGAUUUAUCGCCUUUGGAUGGGCCCGCGUUGGAUUAGCUAGUUGGUAGGGUAAAAGCCUACCAAGGCGACGAUCCAUAGCUGGUCUGAGAGGAUGAUCAGCCACACUGGGACUGAGACACGGCCCAGACUCCUGCGGGAGGCAGCAGGGGGGAAGAUUGGAAAAGGGGCGAAAGCCUGAUCCAGCAAUGCCGGGGGAGUGAUGAAGGCCUUAGGGUUGUAAAGCUCUUUUACCCGGGAUGAUAAUGACAGUACCGGGGAAAUAAGCCCCGGCUAACCCCGU
rnacentral:rRNA from 1 species